AGAGUUUGAUCAUGGCUCAGAUUGAACGCUGGCGGAAUGCUUUACACAUGCAAGUCGAACGGCAGCAUAGAGAGCUUGCUCUCUGAUGGCGAGUGGCGAACGGGUGAGUAAUAUAUCGGAACGUGCCUAGUAAUGGGGAAUAACUAGCUGAAAGGUUAGCUAAUGCCGCAUACGACCUACGGGUGAAAGCAGGGGAUCUUCGGACCUUGCGUUAUUAGAGCGGCCGAUAUCUGAUUAGCUUGUUGGUGGGGUAAUGGCCUACCAAGGCGACGAUCAGUAGCUGGUCUGAGAGGACGAUCAGCCACACUGGAACUGAGACACGGUCCAGACUCCUACGGGAGGCAGCAGUGGGGAAUUUUGGACAAUGGGGGCAACCCUGAUCCAGCCAUUCCGCGUGAGUGAAGAAGGCCUUCGGGUUGUAAAGCUCUUUCGCAAGAGAAGAAAACUUGCUAUCUAAUAAAUAGUAAGCA
rnacentral:rRNA from 1 species